CUAACUAAGAAAAGCUUCUACAUUGAGAGUACCAUCUGUGUGUUAUGUGAUGAUGAGCCUAAUGAGUACAUGAAACAUCUAUUCUUCUCAUGUGAUUUUAGCCAAAACUUUUGGUUAUUAAUUGGUUUUCAAUGGAACACUGAUCUAAGCUGCAAUGAUAUGCUUAUUGAAGCCAGAAACAGAACUCAGAUUUAGCCCUUUAAAGAAUGCCUAAUUGCUGGUUGUUAUACCAUCUGGAAACACAGAAACAACAUCAUUUUUGACAACAAAUGAAGGGAUUUGAGCUACUGUAUUUCCUGUUUCAAGGAUCACUUUGGCACCAUCAUGAAAAGAGUCAGACCUAGUUUAAAGGAGGGAAUGCAAAGCUGGUUGGAUUAUUUGUAG
rnacentral:rRNA from 1 species